AUCUCAUCGCCGCUUCAAUCGGUACUGUCCAGGACUCUCUCUACUCCGACUUUCCCAUAUCGUGUUUUGGUGGGAAGCUGCCUAAUGAGAAACCAAAACCCCUCGCAGAUAGAGACAAUGUACACAGAGCGGAACAAGAUCUUCGCCUUCAGGAGGUGAACUGAGAUCGGGGAACAUGAACUCACACUUUGGGAAUGCCGACCGGGCCCGACAUUGGUUAUUAAUCAGUUUCCGAUACUGCCGUCGACCAGGAGACAAGAGUUUUGAAUAAAACUCACAGAUGUCUGGGAAGAAAGAGGCAGAGGUGCACUGAGAUUGCUUUGAGCACCGAGGACGUGUCGCAGUCACACUUUUGUUGUUAAUUGAACGUGGCAAGCGAACGACACUGCUCCCCCAAAAUUUCCCACUUUCCCGAUGUUCUCCUCCACCAUGGCCGAUCUCAAGUAUCUUCUGGGUAUGUCGAUGCCUUAGCACUAAUGCCGGAUUCAUGCUAAGUGGUGUGCCACCUCGAUCUCGUUGGUAAGUGUGCUGGCGAUGGUCUGGGAUCCGAGAUCUAUUCAUAGAAGCGCUGUCAUUGGACCUUGCCGCGAGAUGCCAGCUCUUCCGGCAAUUGAUUGAUCACGGAGUCUGCCUGGGCGAUGCACUUUGACGCCUUUGAUUCAAAUCUAAAAGGAUAUAUGAUACAUAUUUAAAUAAGGAACUCGUUAAAAUACUUGCAUAGUUGCAGAGACUACAAAUGAGCCGCGAAUGUGAAACUUUGUACAUGCUGGGUUUACUAACUGUUCUCUAGUAAUCUAGUAAUAAUCAUUUAGUUUAAAUUGAUGUUGUUUAUUUUUCGAUGCUUCUAAAAAACAUGCUACUUAUGUAUGCCUAUCGAUCGUUAAAGCCAAUAUGAGCUUUGGUGGUCGGAAGGCCUAAUAAAAAAUGCACAAUAAAGUCAGGGAGUUGGGAAGAAUAAAAGCCCAAAGAACGCAGUAAACAAAAAACCCAAAUUGUGUGCCUUUUUUGACUGGCAAGCUGGCAACGCUCCCCCUUCUCUUUCUCCCCUAUUACCCGUCUCACUUGCUCCUGCAGAGCUGCUGGACGGACUGGCUGCUUCUUCCGAAUUUUCGGCUGUUCGUCGUGUCCAUCGAGUGAUUUUGAUGGAUUGCUGCCAUUAAUCUAUGACGUACGCAACUACCAAAGGAAAUGCCAUCAUCAUCAAAAGCAGCCCAGAAGACCGAGCCAGCAGCCGGGAUCUGAAGCCAAGGGAGUCGGUAUAUGCUCCAUAGAGGCAACAGGGAGGGCAGAGUACGAAGGGACUGGACUGGGAACCGGGAAUUGGGAACUGCGAACCGGGGCCACGCCACUCGGAAAACAAUGAGCAGGCCAAUGCCAAGGGCUCCGAAAGAAAUCCAAUCCAUGCGGCAUAAAUUGAGGGCCUGCUCCUGGCCGAAAAUGUAACGUUUGGGAAUUGCUGCGUAUUUCGCCUUUAUUUUCUCAAUUUCGAGCUUUUGCCUUUACCUGCCAAGGGAAAUAGGAACACGACUAGCA